GGAGGUACAGCUCAGUGGUAGAGUGCAUGCUUGACAUGCUCAAGGACCUGGGUUCAAUCCCAGCACCUCCA
rnacentral:tRNA from 1 species